CAGCAGAGCAACAUGGUUAAAAGGCAGCCGUCUUGAGUCUUAAUAUGAAGACCCUUGAAAAUGGAAUUCUCAGGAAAGAAGAGAGUGCUUAUUCUGCCUCUUGAAGGAAAGUAAAGAGAAACUCAACUGAGAUAUUUAACAGAUUUGUAUUGGAGACCCAGUGAUUCAGACAGUGAUGCACCUACAGGGAGUGUCAACGGAUGAUUUCUUUCCACGAGGGCCAUGGCAUCACUGAGUGAAGCUCAAUAAAAGGACCAGCAACAAAAUCAGGAACAUUUUUUUUUUUUUU